CCUACGGGAGGCAGCAGUGGGGAAUAUUGCACAAUGGGCGCAAGCCUGAUGCAGCCAUGCCGCGUGUGUGAAGAAGGCCUUCGGGUUGUAAAGCACUUUCAGCGGGGAGGAAGGCGGUGAGGUUAAUAACCUCAUCGAUUGACGUUACCCGCAGAAGAAGCACCGGCUAACUCCGUGCCAGCAACCGCGGUAAUACGGAGGGUGCAAGCGUUAAUCGGAAUUACUGGGCGUAAAGCGCACGCAGGCGGUCUGUCAAGUCGGAUGUGAAAUCCCCGGGCUCAACCUGGGAACUGCAUUCGAAACUGGCAGGCUAGAGUCUUGUAGAGGGGGGUAGAAUUCCAGGUGUAGCGGUGAAAUGCGUAGAGAUCUGGAGGAAUACCGGUGGCGAAGGCGGCCCCCUGGACAAAGACUGACGCUCAGGUGCGAAAGCGUGGGGAGCAAACAGGAUUAGAUACCCUAGUAGUC
rnacentral:rRNA from 1 species